CGUCAAGUCAUCAUGGCCCUUACGGCCUGGGCUACACACGUGCUACAAUGGAAAGUACAGAGGGCCGCAAUGCCGCGAGGUGGAGCAAAUCCCAGAAAACUUUUCGUAGUCCGGAUCGGAGUCUGCAACUCGACUCCGUGAAGUCGGAAUCGCUAGUAAUCGCGAAUCAGCAUGUCGCGGUGAAUACGUUCCCGGGCCUU
rnacentral:rRNA from 1 species